rnacentral:misc_RNA from 1 species
AUCACAUCUUGCAUCCCUGUUAUGAAAUAGGCAGCGUCAAUAAUACUUAUGAAAUCAGUCAAUCAAGAGGCAAAGAACCAAACAUAAUCUGCUGCUGCUGCUUCUUUACAAUCCCAGAAGAAGAAGAGGAAGAGGAAAAGAAAGGAAAAUGCAAAUGAUAUGUUAUCGAUGGAGAGAGAAAGAGGUCAAGUGAAACAUAGAGAGGGAGCAUAUUAUAAGGUGGUGAAGAGAGAGGAAAAAAGGGAAUCAGAUCAGUGGGUAAAGAGAAGAGAAGGCAUGAGAAAGAAAUUCUGUCCGUGUCUAGCUUUAGGGAGGCGAGGACGAUGAGCUGAGGCCUUAGUGGGUUGUGU